rnacentral:rRNA from 1 species
GAACGAGAAAGUGGAGCAAUCCAUGAGUACUGUGGCGACCGGGUGAGUAACACGUGACCAACCUGCCCUCGAGUGGGGAAUAACUCCGGGAAACCGGAGCUAAUACCGCAUAACAUCGCAAGAUCAAAGCAGCAAUGCGCUUGAGGAGGGGGUCGCGGCUGAUUAGCUAGUUGGCGGGGUAAUGGCCCACCAAGGCGAAGAUCGGUAUCCGGCCUGAGAGGGCGCACGGACACACUGGAACUGAAACACGGUCCAGACUCCUACGGGAGGCAGCAGUGGGGAAUUUUGCGCAAUGGGGGAAACCCUGACGCAGCAACGCCGCGUGGAGGAUGAAGUCCCUUGGGACGUAAACUCCUUUCGACCCGGACGAUACUGACGGUACGGGUGGAAGAAGCACCGGCUAACUCUGUGCCAGCAGCCGCGGUAAUACAGAGGGUGCGAGCGUUGUUCGGAAUUAUUGGGCGUAAAGGGCGCGUAGGCGGUUGGGUAAGUCACUUGUGAAAUCUCCUGGCUCAACUGGGAGCU